UACGAAGGGUGCGAGCGUUAUUCGGAAUCACUGGGCGUAAAGGGUGUGUAGACGGUAUAUUAAGUUCGUCGUUAAAGGCUCCGGCCUAACCGGAGUAUUGCGAUGAAAACUGGUAAGCUAGAGGGUGAGAGAGAGAAGUGGAAUUCCCGGAGUAGCGGUAAAAUGCGUGGAUCUCGGGAGGAACACCAAUGGCGAAGGCAGCUUCUUGGCUCAUUCCUGACGUUGAGGCACGAAAGCGUGGGGAGCAAACAGG
rnacentral:rRNA from 1 species